UACGUAGGGUGCGAGCGUUAAUCGGAAUUACUGGGCGUAAAGGGCGCGUAGGCGGCCCGCUAAGUCGAACGUGAAAUCCCCGAGCUCAACUCGGGAACUGCGUCCGAUACUGGUGGGCUUGAAUCCGGGAGAGGGAUGCGGAAUUCCAGGUGUAGCGGUGAAAUGCGUAGAUAUCUGGAGGAACACCGGUGGCGAAGGCGGCAUCCUGGACCGGCAUUGACGCUGAGGCGCGAAAGCUAGGGGAGCAAACGGG
rnacentral:rRNA from 1 species